rnacentral:sRNA from 1 species
ACCAGGUCUUUCUAAUGAAGGCCCUGAUACUGUACGUAUAUUAACUUCCAUUUCAUUGGCAAUGAUAUUAGAUAAUGUUGUCUUACCUAAUCCAGGGGGCCAAAAAGCAAUACAUGAUCUAAUGGUUCAUGACGAAGUUUAGCCGC